rnacentral:lncRNA from 1 species
UCCAAGGACGUCAGAUAACUGAUGGUUUGAAGGUAUAUGAUCUUUCUCCUGGUUUGUUUACAAUACUAAUGGUUAGUCACAGUUAAUUUUGUAAAUGUAGAUAUAUAAUAGAAAUUCAUACCUUGUCUUGUGUCUAUGGAUUUUAUGUAUGGAUGAAGUUUUAGGUUGGAAUGUUUUGAAUGUCAUAUCUUCAGUGAUCAGAGUAAAUGUCAUUCAAGCUUAGUUAAUGACUUAAACAUAAUUUAUGAAUGUAGCUUUAGUGUUGGAUUCUGUCCAUUUUACCAAGCCAAAGUUAUACCAAGAGAAUAGUAUUCCAUUGCCUUGUUU